GAUAAACGCUGGCGGCGUGCCUAAUACAUGCAAGUCGAGCGAACGGACGAGAAGCUUGCUUCUCUGAUGUUAGCGGCGGACGGGUGAGUAACACUUGGAUAACCUACCUAUAAGACUGGGAUAACUUCGGGAAACCGGAGCUAAUACCGGAUAAUAUUUUGAACCGCAUGGUUCAAAAGUGAAAGACGGUCUUGCUGUCACUUAUAGAUGGAUCCGCGCUGCAUUAGCUAGUUGGUAGGGUAACGGCUUACCAAGGCAACGAUGCAUAGCCGACCUGAGAGGGUGAUCGGCCACACUGGAACUGAGACACGGUCCAGACUCCUACGGGAGGCAGCAGUAGGGAAUCUUCCGCAAUGGGCGAAAGCCUGACGGAGCAACGCCGCGUGAGUGAUGAAGGUCUUCGGAUCGUAAAACUCUGUUAUUAGGGAAGAACAUAUGUGUAAGUAACUGUGCACAUCUUGACGGUACCUAAUCAGAAAGCCACGGCUAACUACGUGCCAACAGCCGCGGCAAUACCUACGUGGCAAGCUUUAUCCAGAAUUAUUGGGGGUAAAGGCCGCGUAGCGGUUUUUUAGUCUGAUGUGAAAGCCCACGGCUCAACCGUGGAGGGUCAUUGGAAACUGGAAAACUUGAGUGCAGAAGAGGAAAGUGGAAUUCCAUGUGUAGCGGUGAAAUGCGCAGAGAUAUGGAGGAACACCAGUGGCGAAGGCGACUUUCUGGUCUGUAACUGACGCUGAUGUGCGAAAGCGUGGGGAUCAAACAGGAUUAGAUACCCUGGUAGUCCACGCCGUAAACGAUGAGUGCUAAGUGUUAGGGGGUUUCCGCCCCUUAGUGCUGCAGCUAACGCAUUAAGCACUCCGCCUGGGGAGUACGACCGCAAGGUUGAAACUCAAAGGAAUUGACGGGGACCCGCACAAGCGGUGGAGCAUGUGGUUUAAUUCGAAGCAACGCGAAGAACCUUACCAAAUCUUGACAUCCUUUGACAACUCUAGAGAUAGAGCCUUCCCCUUCGGGGGACAAAGUGACAGGUGGUGCAUGGUUGUCGUCAGCUCGUGUCGUGAGAUGUUGGGUUAAGUCCCGCAACGAGCGCAACCCUUAAGCUUAGUUGCCAUCAUUAAGUUGGGCACUCUAAGUUGACUGCCGGUGACAAACCGGAGGAAGGUGGGGAUGACGUCAAAUCAUCAUGCCCCUUAUGAUUUGGGCUACACACGUGCUACAAUGGACAAUACAAAGGGCAGCGAAACCGCGAGGUCAAGCAAAUCCCAUAAAGUUGUUCUCAGUUCGGAUUGUAGUCUGCAACUCGACUACAUGAAGCUGGAAUCGCUAGUAAUCGUAGAUCAGCAUGCUACGGUGAGUACGUUCCCGGGUCU
rnacentral:rRNA from 1 species